UACGGAGGAUGCAAGCGUUAUCCGGAAUGAUUGGGCGUAAAGCGUCCGCAGGUGGCUGUGUAAGUCUGCUGUUAAAUAGUGAGGCUCAACCUCAUAAAGGCAGUGGAAACUACAUGGCUAGAGUGCGUUCGGGGCAGAGGGAAUUCCUGGUGUAGCGGUGAAAUGCGUAGAGAUCAGGAAGAACACCGGUGGCGAAAGCGCUCUGCUAGGCCGCAACUGACACUGAGGGACGAAAGCUAGGGGAGCGAAUGGG
rnacentral:rRNA from 2 species